UACGUAGGGUGCAAGCGUUAAUCGGAAUUACUGGGCGUAAAGCGUGCGCAGGCGGCUUUGCAAGACAGAUGUGAAAUCCCCGGGCUCAACCUGGGAACUGCAUUUGUGACUGCAUGGCUAGAGUACGGUAGAGGGGGAUGGAAUUCCGCGUGUAGCAGUGAAAUGCGUAGAUAUGCGGAGGAACACCGAUGGCGAAGGCAAUCCCCUGGACCUGUACUGACGCUCAUGCACGAAAGCUAGGGGAGCAAACAGG
rnacentral:rRNA from 2 species